GAUGAACGCUGGCGGCGUGCCUAAUACAUGCAAGUCGAGCGAACAGACGAGGAGCUUGCUCCUCUGACGUUAGCGGCGGACGGGUGAGUAACACGUGGAUAACCUACCUAUAAGACUGGGAUAACUUCGGGAAACCGGAGCUAAUACCGGAUAAUAUAUUGAACCGCAUGGUUCAAUAGUGAAAGACGGUUUUGCUGUCACUUAUAGAUGGAUCCGCGCCGCAUUAGCUAGUUGGUAAGGUAACGGCUUACCAAGGCAACGAUGCGUAGCCGACCUGAGAGGGUGAUCGGCCACACUGGAACUGAGACACGGUCCAGACUCCUACGGGAGGUAGCAGUAGGGAACCUUCCGCAAUGGGCGAAAGCCUGACGGAGCAACGCCGCGUGAGUGAUGAAGGUCUUCGGAUCGUAAAACUCUGUUAUUAGGGAAGAACAAAUGUGUAAGUAACUAUGCACGUCUUGACGGUACCUAAUCAGAAAGCCACGGCUAACUACGUG
rnacentral:rRNA from 1 species